AAAACUUUCAACAACGGAUCUCUUGGUUCUGGCAUCGAUGAAGAACGCAGCGAAAUGCGAUAAGUAAUGUGAAUUGCAGAAUUCAGUGAAUCAUCGAAUCUUUGAACGCACAUUGCGCCCCUCGGUAUUCCGGGGGGCAUGCCUGUUCGAGCGUCAAAG
rnacentral:rRNA from 1 species